rnacentral:snoRNA from 1 species
UACGUGAUGAAUGACAAACGCGUGAACAAUCUCUGAUUUCUAAUAACGUGAUUAGAAAACACUUGUUGCCUUCCUUCUGACA